rnacentral:rRNA from 1 species
GGCUCAGGAUGAACGCUGGCGGCGUGCUUAACACAUGCAAGUCGAACGAAGCAUUUACGACAGAUUUCUUCGGAUUGAAGUUGUUUAUGACUGAGUGGCGGACGGGUGAGUAACGCGUGGGUAACCUGCCUUGUACUGGGGGAUAGCAGCUGGAAACGGCUGGUAAUACCGCAUAAGCGCACGAUGUCGCAUGACAUAGUGUGAAAAACUCCGGUGGUAUAAGAUGGACCCGCGUCUGAUUAGCUAGUUGGUGAGAUAACAGCCCACCAAGGCGACGAUCAGUAGCCGACCUGAGAGGGUGACCGGCCACAUUGGGACUGAGACACGGCCCAGACUCCUACGGGAGGCAGCAGUGGGGAAUAUUGCACAAUGGGGGAAACCCUGAUGCAGCGACGCCGCGUGGAGGAAGAAGGUCUUCGGAUUGUAAACUCCUGUUGUUGAGGAAGAUAAUGACGGUACUCAACAAGGAAGUGACGGCUAACUACGUG